rnacentral:tRNA from 1 species
GCAAUGGUGGUUCGGUGGUUGAAGUCUCGCCUUUCAUGUGAGAGACCUAGGUUAGAUUCCCAACCACUGCA